CCAGACUCCUACGGGAGGCAGCAGUGGGGAAUAUUGGGCAAUGGGCGCAAGCCUGACCCAGCAAUGCCGCGUGAAGGAAGAAGGCCUUCGGGUUGUAAACUUCUUUUAUCAGGGACGAAGGAUGUGACGGUACCUGAUGAAUAAGCUCCGGCUAACUACGUGCCAGCAGCCGCGGUAAUACGUAGGGAGCAAGCGUUAUCCGGAUUUACUGGGUGUAAAGGGCGCGUAGGCGGGAUGGCAAGUCAGAUGUGAAAUCCAAGGGCUCAACCCUUGAACUGCAUUUGAAACUGUCGUUCUUGAGUACUGGAGAGGUUGACGGAAUUCCUAGUGUAGCGGUGAAAUGCGUAGAUAUUAGGAGGAACACCAGUGGCGAAGGCGGUCAACUGGACAGCAACUGACGCUGAGGCGCGAAAGCGUGGGGAGCAAACAGGAUUAGAUACCCGAGUA
rnacentral:rRNA from 1 species